UGUUGCAAUCCAAAGAAGCCAUGUGGGGUAGUGUGUCUGCAUCCAAUGUGCAGUCCCCUGGUAUAUCUAACUCAGGUGAGGUACCCCUCAACCAUCCUGCUUUAUCAGCACCAGCUGUACUACAAACCAAAGAAGGUAUGUGGGACAGUGUGUUUGCAUCAAAGUCACGCCAUCCAGUCUUUUCAGCCCCUGCUACACCACAAUCCAAAGCUAGUACUGUAGAUGGCAUCUCUUCCUCCAGUGCACAGUCCUCGGGGACAAAUUUCCCUGUAAAGGCACAUCAAAAUCCAGCACCCCCAGUGCAACAAGGUAAAAUUGGCAAGUGGGAUAGUGUGAUUGCAUCCCGUGCACAGUCUUCAAGAUUCAGUAACCCUGCGGAGUCUCUUAAAAAUCCAGAACCUCAAGGCAAAUCUGCAAAGUGGAAGAGUGUUCCUGCCUCAAAUGUGCAGUCCCCAAGAUUGUCUAACUUUGCAAAGCUACCCUUGACUCAUCCAGCCCCUACUGGGCUACAAACCAAAGCUGGCAUGCAGGAUGGUGUAUUUGCUUCCAAUGCUCAAUCCCCAAACGUUGGUCCUAGAAGUUUUAGACCUGAAGCUUCUGGUUCCUACCCUCUGAGGCAGCAGCCAAGGAUUAUGGGCAAACCUCAGCCAGUCUCUGGGUUUCCCCAGAGCAACAGGGGUGGUUUUGGUGAUGAAGCACAAGUGAAACGAUCUCCAAGGAGCCUUAAACCAGUUCCAGUAUCAUCCUCCCGUUCUAGUCAACAACUUGACUCUUCACCCAGACGUCAACCUUAAUAUUCCUAGUUGUUGCUAUCAUUUAUGGCUGUGAAUCUGACUUUCAAUAAAGUUCUUGUUGGAACUUUCA